UCGGCAAUAGUUUAGUGGCCAGAAUCUCCGCCUGUCACGCGGGAGACCGGGGUUCGAUUCCCCGUUGCCGAG
rfam:Tortispora caseinolytica NRRL Y-17796 unplaced genomic scaffold CANCAscaffold_2, whole genome shotgun sequence.